AUUCAAGUAUUUCUUCCCAGUUUAAAAUGUCCUUAAAAAACGGUAAAAAUUAAGGCAUUUACAUGUAUCGCCCCCCUUAAAAUGGUCAAUCUCAGUGACAUUGCUGAUACGUAUGGAUUUAUUACUACAGAAGGUUUUUUAACUGAUCUAAUUGAACCAAGUGGUAAAUUUUCAAGCGGAUCUGGCUUUAUCACAGAUCGCAUAGUUGGAGUUUAAAUUAAUGUUUAUAAUUUAAAAUUAUCAGAUGAGGCUUUACCAGCAGGAAAUCAUGUUCGAGUAUGUGGGAGAGUAAACAGGGACAAAAAUUUUGGCUGGGCAUAUAUUCAGUGUCAGGAAAUGUCUAAUAUCACCAAAAUCUAUGAACAAACUUUAUCAACUUUGGACUUGAGUAAAAACUACCGUAGUCCUCAACCGAAAUGUUCCCGUUCCCCGAGCAAUGAUACGCGUAACUGCAAAGUUAUCAAAAUUGAUGAUUUGAGUUGUGAAUUUUGAUUAAAUUAAUUCUUUUAUCUAUAUUUAUCUAACUAAUUCAAAUUAUAUAACUUUGUGAACUUUAUUUCUGAGAUGAUUUAUAUUUUAUAGAACGAUAACCCUAAUGCUAUGGAUAGUUAAAAAGUCUGAAGACUUUUUGCCCCGUGAAUGAUUGUCAGUACUUCAGUAUUUUUAAUUGAUAGAGCUUCAGAUCAUAUUAUUAUUAACCUUUAAAAAAUACCAAUGAUAUUAAAAUAACUUGCUAAGACUGCUCAAUAUUAUUUAAAUAAUUAAACUUAAUGAAGUGGAAUUAUGUGAUGACAAUUAAUAAUAAUAGAAUUUAGUUUAUUAUUGCGUACAUUUAAGUGUUUCAAUACGAAAACUUUCUGAUAGCUGUGUCA